CCUACGGGAGGCAGCAGUGAGGAAUAUUGGUCAAUGGGCGCUAGCCUGAACCAGCCAAGUAGCGUGAAGGAUGACUGCCCUAUGGGUUGUAAACUUCUUUUAUAUGGGAAUAAAGUGCAGUAUGUAUACUGCUUUGCAUGUACCUUAUGAAUAAGGAUCGGCUAACUCCGUGCCAGCAGCCGCGGUAAUACGGAGGAUUCGAGCGUUAUCCGGAUUUAUUGGGUUUAAAGGGAGCGUAGGCGGGUUGUUAAGUCAGGUGUGAAAGUUUGCGGCUCAACCGUAAAAUUGCAGUUGAUACUGGCAGCCUUGAGUACAGUAGAGGUAGGCGGAAUUCGUGGUGUAGCGGUGAAAUGCUUAGAUAUCACGAAGAACUCCGAUUGCGAAGGCAGCCUGCUGGACUGUAACUGACGCUGAUGCUCGAAAGUGUGGGUAUCAAACAGGAUUAGAUACCCCAGUAGUC
rnacentral:rRNA from 1 species